UAAGUUAAAAUGGUAGCACUUUCUCCCACC
rnacentral:piRNA from 1 species